AGUAACUAUUCUUGAGCAUAUACAAAUUAUAGCGGGUCAACUCGCUACUAUUUUGUCUGUACUUAACCCUGUGUCUACCUCUUCCGAAUGAACUUUACUCUAUUAUCCCUUAUUCCUAAUUCCCAUAAAUAUUAGCGAUACUUGUCAAGUCAACAAAUGCGAAAGAUCCCAGCUUCUGUUUAACUAGCUAGGGAGAAGGAGGCAAAUGUAAUGAAACGAGAUUUAUUUGUCGUAUGUUCCUUCCUGUAUAUUACAAUGUAUACCGGACAGUAUACAUACCUUAUGUCAAUUGCUAUCGGAACAAUCAUGAGGAUAGUCGGGGAACUUUUCUAGGUAUUUCUUCGUCAUUUCCUGGGAUACUGAUUGUCCUGGAGAUGGUGUGUGUAUUUUUUGUUUACUUUUUAAUUUAAACUGAGGAAAACCAAGGACCACGUGUCGGUGCAUAAAACUUUAGUGAUUAAGAAUUCUGAUUUCCUCGAACCCACACCACCUGAAAAUUUUCAGGUGCCCCAAAUUAAGAACACGGAGAGAUUCAACGUAAUAUAAAUUGUGACGAUGGCAAAGAUAUAUCUGUUAAACUGGAGAUUUUUAAAAAGAAAUUCUAGAAGCAAUGUUGUUUUGGUGAAUUAUUGAAGAUAUUAUGACAAUCUGUGUCGAAAUAAAAGGGUUCAGUAUCGAUUUUCUACAGC